rnacentral:rRNA from 1 species
UACGUAGGGUGCGAGCGUUGUCCGGAUUUAUUGGGCGUAAAGAGCUCGUAGGCGGUUUGUCGCGUCGGCCGUGAAAUCUCCACGCUUAACGUGGAGCGUGCGGUCGAUACGGGCAGACUUGAGUUCGGUAGGGGAGACUGGAAUUCCUGGUGUAGCGGUGAAAUGCGCAGAUAUCAGGAGGAACACCAAUGGCGAAGGCAGCUCGCUGGGACGGUACUGACGCUGAGGCGCGAAAGCGUGGGGAGCAAACAGG